rnacentral:rRNA from 1 species
GACGAACGCUGGCGGCGUGCUUAACACAUGCAAGUCGAACGGAAAGGCCCUGCUUUUGUGGGGUGCUCGAUUGGCGAACGGGUGAGUAACACGUGAGUAACCUGCCCUUGACUUUGGGAUAACUUCAGGAAACUGGGGCUAAUACCGGAUAGGAGCUCCUGCUGCAUGGUGUGGGAUGGAAAGUUUCGGCGGUGGGGGAUGGACUCGCGGCUUAUCAGCUUGUUGGUGGGGUAGUGGCUUACCAGGGCUUUGACGGGUAGCCGGCCUGAGAGGGUGACCGGCCACAUGGGGACUGAGAGACGGACCAGACGGCUACGGGAGGCAGCAGUGGGGAAUAUGGCACAAUGGGCGGAAGCCUGAUGCAGCAACGCUGCGUGCGGGAUGACGGCCUUCGGGUUGUAAACCGCUUUGGAAUGUGACGAAGCGUGAGUGACGGUAAUGGGUAAAGAAGCACCGGCUAACUACGUG